UACAGAGGGGGCAAGCGUUGUUCGGAAUUACUGGGCGUAAAGGGCGCGUAGGCGGCAUGACAAGUCACUUGUGAAAUCUCCGGGCUUAACUCGGAACGGCCAAGUGAAACUGUCAAGCUAGAGUGCGGAAGGGGCAAUCGGAAUUCUUGGUGUAGCGGUGAAAUGCGUAGAUAUCAAGAGGAACACCUGAGGUGAAGACGGGGUUGCUGGGCCGACACUGACGCUGAUGCGCGAAAGCCAGGGGAGCAAACGGG
rnacentral:rRNA from 1 species